CCACCGCCGCCGCCAAGCGCGCCGUCGCCGCUCGCCAGGGUGCGGCUCGACGACGUGGCGCCACACGACGGCGCGGCCGCCCCGGGCUACGCGCGCGCCGUCGGCGCCCUCGCCGCCUCGCUCGCCCGCCGCGGCGCCGCCGUGCUCGAGCUCCCCGCCGACGACGCGGCCGUCAUCCGCUGCGCCCUCGAAUCCGCCCGCGCCUUCUUCCGCGGCCGCCACGCCGCCUACCUCUACCGCGCCGGGAGGACUUUGGAAGAUGGAGAGUUGUCGCCUGCUUGCAUGGCUGAUGCUUUCAGAUGUUUGGGCAAAGCAGCCCGGGCCGCCCUCUGUGCAAUAGCACGGCACCUGCGCCUACGUACCGACGUAUUCAACCAAUUACUUGAUGAUACUCCACUGCCGGUUAACGAGGUCUCCUCAUCAGAGUUGCUGGUGGCAUAUUCUCAUGAACAGCCCCAAAGUGGUCACUCACUCAUGGGAUGUCCCAGCAGGUCCUCAAUGCCUCAAGUUGAUAGGGGAUUUGUGACGCUAGUUGCUUCCGAUUGUCCAGGAAUUGAGGUUUGUGACCCAAAUGGCCAUUGGUACCUAGCUGAUGGGGUUUCAGGCCCAAAUAAUCUAUUGCUUCUGACUGGAAGGGCCCUAAGUCAUGUUACUGCUGGUCUUUGCCCAAUUUCCCACUACAGGGUCACUAAUGAGAAUAGGGCAUCACUCACCUUUAGGUUGGUGCCUCAUGCCAACGCUAUAUUGGAUUGCUCUCCAAUUUUAGCUGCUGGGCAUUGCAUACGACAGGUGUACCAACCCAUACCUGCAAGCCAAUUUAUGGAUGAUUCUUAUGCUGAAGAGCACGCUGUUUCCAGUCACUUGGAAGAACCUUUUGAAUCUCAGGGCAACUUUGUUAGCGACCCAUCACUCAGAAGUGUCCUGUCAGACCCUCUGUCUGGGGCUUUUCUUGAAGAUGCUAUGGUUCUCCAAUGUGGGCACUCAUUUGGUGGCGUCAUGCUGAAGAAAGUCAUUGAAAUGGCUAGAUGCACCAUUUGCAAUGGAGAAGUCGACACAUCCUCCUUGUUUCCUAAUCUCGCUUUAAGAGCAGUAGCCACGGUGGUGAAGAUGGAGGAUGACAGGAGACUGUUUCAUAACGCCGCUCUUCGGAAGCGCAGGAAAGAUGUAACCGAGCAUACGAAUGUGCUGAAGCGGAGUGGGAGUAGCAAAGUGUGUGUAUAA
rnacentral:rRNA from 1 species